rnacentral:lncRNA from 10 species
AGAGUGUCCUGCUUCCUCCGAGAGCUUAGCUGGGGAGAAGAGCUGGGAGCGACUCGAGCUGAGGACGUGGAAGGGCCCGCUCCGGACACUGCGCUCCAACCAGGAGGAGCAGGAGGAGGAGGAGGAUGAACAAAAUGGCCGCCGCCACCAGCCAGGCAGGAAACAGGGCAGAGCGCAGGCGCGACCCGCCAGGUCACCGCUCAGGCCAGCCGCGACAGCCUGCAAGGGGGACGACCGAGGGGAGAGAAAAAAGGGCCGCCGAGGAAACCCUGGGACCCGCUCACGACGGAUCACGUCGUCGCUGUGGGCCUCUGGCCGGCCGAAGCCCAGCCAGCUCCGGGAGAGAUCGGGCAAAAAGAGAAACGUCGUGAAGCCGAAGUCUCUGGGAAUUGUGGUCCUGGAAAUGAGAGAGGGAAGCACUUCUGCAGAGGACUUCUGGAACCUGUGGUUAAGAGGAGCCGCCGGCGCCCACCCGCGCUGGGACGUGAAGAGGAGACUUCUGGGUAGUGUAGUCAUACGUGAGGACGUGCGACGACCAGGAAGUCGGCGGGCUGGGAGGUAAAGGGAAGAAUAAAAGCGACAUUGAAAGGCGGGGAGACCAAGUGGGGAAAAGCGCUGUCUGGGAAAGCGAACUACAAGU